GAUUCAAAGAUCUGGGGGUCUGAGCGAUCGAGAAAGGCAAAGAGUGUUGUGAGGGUUUGGGGAAAACCUCUCCACUAUUUAUAGGCCUUGGGAAAAUUACAAAAACCCCCCAGAGAACCCAAAAUUUACGAAAUUUGAGAUCAAGAUUCGAUCUCCAAAUCCCCCUAAUCACGCCAAGUCGCCGACUCCGGGCAAAGAUUCACGGCAAUGUGAGAUACUUUCCUUAUUUGGAGAUUUUUCAAAUAUUCCCCGUAUAUCUCCCAAAUAUUCCAAGGAUCUCUUGAAAAGAUCCGACGGUUACGUUAGGAGUCGCC
rnacentral:lncRNA from 1 species